rnacentral:rRNA from 1 species
UACGAAGGGGGCUAGCGUUGCUCGGAAUCGCUGGGCGUAAAGGGUGCGUAGGCGGGUCUUUUAAGUCAGGGGUGAAAUCCUGGAGCUCAACUCCAGAACUGCCUUUGAUACUGAAGAUCUUGAGUUCGGGAGAGGUGAGUGGAACUGCGAGUGUAGAGGUGAAAUUCGUAGAUAUUCGCAAGAACACCAGUGGCGAAGGCGGCUCACUGGCCCGAUACUGACGCCGAGGCACGAAAGCGUGGGGAGCAAACAGG